CCGUCGAUAGCUCAGUUGGCAGAGCGGUGGACUGUAGAUCCAUAGGUCGCUGGUUCGACUCCGGCUCGGCGGA
rnacentral:tRNA from 3 species